CCUAAAUAUUUGGAAGAAAAUUGAACGAUAUUUGCUUUCACUUUUCACCUUUCACCUUCAUCCAUCCCCCAUCUCAUCCAAAUCUCUAUACCGUUUCACAUAACAAAAAUAUUCAAUCCACACAUCAGCUUCAACGUAUACUCAAGUUGUUUCAGGAACUGCUAUAUAUAUAUAUAUAAUACCAGCAUAUCUCAAGUUGUUUCAGGAACUGCUAUAUAUAUAUAUAUAUAUAUAAAUACCAGCAUAUCUCAGAUUGUGUAGGAAGAAGAAGUUGAUCGAGUAUCUCCCAUGCAAAAGAGUGUCGACAAGUGAUGGAUGAGCAAGGUUCUUCAGGAGAUGAAGUAUUACGACAAGCAUCUUAUUUUCGAUCUCAGUAUGUUCUCGAAGUGUCCAAUGAUUUUUGGUCUCUAGCAAUGUUCUUUCGCAGCCGUGGCUGUCUCCUUCACUCACACCGCGCUGGAGCCAUUCUUCAAUGCAUCUGCUUCUCAGUUCCUUCUUGGACAAUCAAUCCCCAUACCACUAUGGUUGUAUUUAGCUCAUGUUGUACUUUGUAACCACUCUGGCUAAACUCAUUUUCUUAUGUCCAAAGUUUGUUGGAUUAAACCUAAAAGAAAAUCGCAGGAGUUUCAAUGGCUUCGCUAACUGAGUUAUGAUUAAACUGGCUUGGAUUCAUCAGUGUGAUGAUGAUAUCAAACAUCUCUUUCACUUACCGUAGCAUCUUAUCUAAGAAAGCCAUGGUUCUUGUAUUAUAAGUGUAUAAUUUUAAUAAAAUAGAGAAUAUAUGA